AAGAUCAAUUUUAAGGCUGCUAACCUUUCAUAAAUGUUCUCAUUUGAUCUUU
rnacentral:tRNA from 1 species